ensembl:lncRNA
GAAAUGCAAACCUACCACUUUAAAGAUCGCCUGCCUGAGGACUAGACAGCUAACCUUCUGUGAACCUUGAGAAUUCUACUGGAAAGCAAGCUACCUUCCACCUAUCUGGGUGAGCCAAAAUGUUCCUUGAAAAAUAUUUUGAGAUUUAGGCUUCUUUCCACAGAUGGGACCUUUCGGAUAAAACUUGAAGACACUGAACUCAGUGGCGUCCAGCUACUCAUCUUUGCAUGGGUGAUUCCUAGAGCAGUAUUGUGCCGAUCAUAGGCGUUCAGCCCAGGGUGGCUGGACAAAGGAAACUGUCAACAAGAAAUAAUGAGGCUACUGCUCAUCGGCUUUUGGGUAGUUGGUCCUAUGACUGAAGGCCCCUUCUGCUCUACGACGAAGACUGGCAAAACUCGCCUCAGCCCCCAGAGCAAGGCUAACCUAUCCACUCUACUCAUCAAAGAUCACCAUUCUCUCUGAUAUCUAAAAGGCGCUUUCUGCUUGUCACUUACUGUGGGAUAGUCAUUACUUCUAAUGUAUCGGACUGUGUACCCUCGUCUUAGGUUUUCUGUUGUUUCUAGGAAAGUGAAGGUUUCUCAAGGACGAGGGAAUUACAGUGUGCUUUAUGGAGGUUCCGUAGUGUCUGCUGCAAAGCUGAGUGGAAUAACAUCUUCAAAAAAUGCAACUGCACCUGGAGUCAAAGGCACAAGAGAUAUUAAUCAUAUCGAGUCAACCUGUUUUCAGUCAACUGUGUAAAAAGCUACUGAUUCAUGGCUGAGUGCUACUUCUUUGAGGCAACCUAAAUAACAGACAAUUCUUUUCUUUUCUUUUCUUUUUUU